GCGGUGGAUGAUGUGGUUUAAUUCGAUGCAACGCGAAAACCUUACCCACCUUUGACAUGGCAGGAAUCCUGAAGAGAUUUGGGAGUGCUCGAAAGAGAACCUGCACACAGGUGCUGCAUGGCUGUCGUCAGCUCGUGUCGUGAGAUGUUGGGUUAAGUCCCGCAACGAGCGCAACCCUUGCCAUUAGUUGCUACGAAAGGGCACUCUAAUGGGACUGCCGGUGACAAACCGGAGGAAGGUGGGGAUGACGUCAAGUCCUCAUGGCCCUUAUAGGUGGGGCUACACACGUCAUACAAUGGCCGGUACAGAGGGUAGCCAACCCGCGAGGGGGAGCCAAUCCCACAAAGCCGGUCGUAGUCCGGAUCGCAGUCUGCAACUCGACUGCGUGAAGUCGGAAUCGCUAGUAAUCGCGGAUCAGCAUGUCGCGGUGAAUACGUUCCCGGGUCUU
rnacentral:rRNA from 1 species